rnacentral:rRNA from 1 species
CUUGGUCAUUUAGAGGAAGUAAAAGUCGUAACAAGGUUUCCGUAGAUGAACCUGCGGAAGGAUCAUUAAUGAGUCUGAAAGGGGUUGUUGCUGGCCUUCUCGGAGGCAUGUGCACGCCCUGCUCACUCCACAUACACCUGUGCACCUUUGGUAGUCUGGUCCGAUUAGACCACUGGGCGUCGGCCAGACUGCUGCUUUUACACACACUUUAAAGUAUCAGAAUGUCAUCUUGCUAUAAACGCAUUUAAAACAACUUUCAACAACGGAUCUCUUGGCUCUCGCAUCGAUGAAGAACGCAGCGAAAUGCGAUAGUAAUGUGAAUUGCAGAAUUCAGUGAAUCAUCGAAUCUUUGAACGCACCUUGCGCUCCUUGGUAUUCCUUGGAGCAUGCCUGUUUGAGUGUCAUGAAUAUCUCAAUCCCCUAAAGGCUCGCCUUUCCGUGGACUUGGACUUGGAGGUUGCUGGUCACUCAGCUCCUCUCAAAUGCAUUAGCUGGAACCUUAUGUGUAUCUCCGGUGUGAUAAUAUCUACUCCGUCUGAUCACAAAGUCGAAGUUGCUUGCGACUGAGGCUAUUAGGAUCUGCUUCUAAUCGUCCUACCCAGGACAAUCAUUGACAUCUGACCUCAAAUCAGGUAGGACUACCCGCUGAACUUAAGCAUAUCAAUAAGCGGAGGAAAAGAAACUAACAAGGAUUCCCCUAGUAACUGCGAGUGAAGCGGGAAAAGCUCAAAUUUAAAAUCUGGCCGGCUUUGCUUGCCCGAAUUGUAAUCUGGAGAAGCGUCUUCCGCGUUGGACCGUGUACAAGUUUCUUGGAAUAGAACAUCAUAGAGGGUGAGAAUCCCGUCUUUGACACGGACUACCAGUGCUAUGUGAUGCGCUCUCGACGAGUCGCGUUGUUUGGGAAUGCAGCGCUAAAUGGGUGGUAAAUUCCAUCUAAAGCUAAAUAUUGGCGAGAGACCGAUAGCGAACAAGUACCGUGAGGGAAAGAUGAAAAGCACUUUGGAAAGAGAGUUAAACAGUACGUGAAAUUGUUGAAAGGGAAACGCUUGAAGUCAGUCGCGUCAUAUGGGACUCAGCCUCACUGCUGUGUGGUGUACUUCCUAUGUGACGGGCCAGCAUCGAUUUUGACCGUUGGAUAAAGUUCAAGAGAAUGUGGCACCCUCGGGUGUGUUAUAGCUUUUGUUCGCAUACAUCGGUUGGGAUCGAGGAUCGCAGCACGCCUUUUGGCCGGGGUUCGCCCACGUACGUGCUUAGGAUGCUGGCGUAAUGGCUUUAAACGACCCGUCUUGAAACACGGAC